GACGAACGCUGGCGGCGUGCUUAACACAUGCAAGUCGAACGGAAAGGCCCUGCUUUUGUGGGGUGCUCGAGUGGCGAACGGGUGAGUAACACGUGAGUAACCUGCCCUUGACUUUGGGAUAACUUCAGGAAACUGGGGCUAAUACCGGAUCGGAGCUCCUGCUGCAUGGUGGGGGUUGGAAAGUUUCGGCGGUUGGGGAUGGACUCGCGGCUUAUCAGCUUGUUGGUGGGGUAGUGGCUUACCAAGGCUUUGCCGGGUAGCCGGCCUGAGAGGGUGACCGGCCACAUUGGGACUGAGAUACGGCCCAGACUCCUACGGGAGGCAGCAGUGGGGAAUAUUGCACAAUGGGCGGAAGCCUGAUGCAGCAACGCCGCGUGCGGGAUGACGGCCUUCGGGUUGUAAACCGCUUUCGCCUGUGACGAAGCGUGAGUGACGGUAAUGGGUAAAGAAGCACCGGCUAACUACGUG
rnacentral:rRNA from 1 species